rnacentral:rRNA from 1 species
CCUACGGGAGGCAGCAGUGGGGAAUCUUGCGCAAUGGGCGGAAGCCUGACGCAGCGACGCCGCGUGCGGGACGAAGGCUUUCGGGUCGUAAACCGCUUUCAGCAGGGACGAGGCCCUCACGGUGACGGUUCCUGCAGAAGAAGUCUCGGCUAACUACGUGCCAGCCGCCGCGGUAAAACGUAGGGGGCGAUCGUUAUCCGGAUUCAUUGGGCGUAAAGCGCGCGUAGGCGGCCUGUUAGGUCGGGGGUAAAAUACCGGGGCUAAACCCCGGUCCGCCCCCGAUACCGGCAGGCUUGAGUCUAGUAGGGGAAGGCGGAAUUCCCGGUGUAGCGGUGGAAUGCGCAGAUAUUAGGCAGAACACCGGCGGCGAAGGCGGCCUUCUGGGCCACGACUGACGCUGAGGCGCGAAAGCUAGGGGAGCGAACAGGAUUAGAUACCCCGGUAGUC